ensembl:lncRNA
CUGAGUCUCUUCCCUCAGUAAGGCUUGACAGACACAGUGUUGUCCUAUUAGUUGCGCCAUGUAUCAAAUAUAGAGGAAGCCAUUAUCUAGAAAAGUUUAGGGUAGGUGAAGUUUGUGGCUGGACCUUUAAAACAAAAUUCUCUAAGUCUGUAAAUAAUCUCAGCUAAUGAGAGUUAAGAUGAAACCUAUCCGUGAUCUUCAGGUGCUGUUUUUUCCCCCAAGGUUAACAAGUAAGGUGAUCAGAUAGGCAAUGACUUGCACCUGCCCACACUGGCUGGGGGAUAGCUCAGUGCAGGGCAGUGCAACAGAGCUGCUUUUCCUCCUGAUGGGCAGCCAGGAGCACUGUUAAUGUUAUACUGUGCUGUCCCAGGCACUCCAAGUGGGAUUAUGCAUCCUGGCUGUUCUCCUAGCGCUGGAUGAAAGCUCUGUCUGGAGACAGCUGGAUCCUACAUGAGGAGCAACAAAGGGGCUGCAGAGCAGUGAUCUGUUACUCUUCUCUCACAUGUAGAUGAGUAAAAGGCUGAAGAGAACCGAAGCAGUGGAAAAUGCCACACUUUUAUUGAAGUUCAGUGACACAAAAGCUGACGAGAUGCUGAGUGAUUCAUCAGACAGCGCAGUCAGUUGGAUGCGAAGGAAUGCUGGAGAAAGUAUCAGUUACAAUAAUAAGUAGAUUAAUAAUUACAAAAAGCUUUGGUGCUCCCCCAGAGCUAGCCUGAUCCUACACAGUGAAUGACUUAAAUAAAACAAGUGGGAGUUUCAUUUGUUUUAUUUGUAUUUAUUAUUUUUAACCUUCAUAAUCCUUCCUUGUAUUGUGCUGGAGCCUGCAAUGGUGAACGUAAAAGCACGCAUCCAACAGGCUUCAUUGGGCUGCAGAUAGCUCCCAGCUCCUCAGCUGAGCUAUUGGAGCCAAGAGAUGUCUGCUCCUUUUAUCUUUAUUGUAAGGCUUACGAACUUGGAAUAAAUUGGCAGGAGUGGCUUACUGUAAAUAAAUAAAUAAAGCUCAUGCUUCGGUCUGUAGAUGGAGCGGGCUUUGCCCUGCAGUUGGUCGGGUUAUAAAUGUGGUGGGAAAUGCUGACUUUUGAGAUGAUGGAAUUUAUAUAUAUUUUAGGGGAAUGUCUGAAGCUUGACAGCAGUUAAUCUUAUAAGGUCAUUAGAAAACGGAGUGCCUUUGAUUAGUGUUUAUCACUGUGAACAGUUCAUGUUGAAGUGAACGAAGUGGACACCGCCCUCCUGUUCAUGCAGCCUGUUCUGUGCUGAGAAAAACGAGUGUACAGAAAGCUGUGGCUCAUGGGAUUUGCUGGGAGAGGCAUGAAAGGAGCCCAGGGGCAUGUUUGGGGCGGUGGGCUGCCAUGGGCUUAUCAGCUGAGGUUGGUGUGAAAGCCUCUCCUCGCUCACCAG